UGGGGAAUCUUCCGCAAUGGGCGAAAGCCUGACGGAGCAACGCCGCGUGAGUGAAGACGGCCUUCGGGUUGUAAAACUCUGUGAUUCGGGACGAAAGAUAAGCAGACGAAUAAUCUGCAUAAGUGACGGUACCGAAAAAGCAAGCCACGGCUAACUACGUGCCAGCAGCCGCGGUAAUACGUAGGUGGCAAGCGUUGUCCGGAAUUAUUGGGCGUAAAGCGCGCGCAGGCGGCUACUUAAGUCCAUCUUAAAAGUGCGGGGCUUAACCCCGUGAUGGGAGGGAAACUGAGAAGCUGGAGUGUCGGAGAGGAAAGUGGAAUUCCUAGUGUAGCGGUGAAAUGCGUAGAGAUUAGGAAGAACACCGGUGGCGAAGGCGACUUUCUGGACGACAACUGACGCUUAGGCGCGAAAGCGUGGGGAGCAAACAGG
rnacentral:rRNA from 1 species